ACGCUGGCGGCAGGCCUAACACAUGCAAGUCGAACGGUAACAGGAAGCAGCUUGCUGCUUCGCUGACGAGUGGCGGACGGGUGAGUAAUGUCUGGGAAACUGCCUGAUGGAGGGGGAUAACUACUGGAAACGGUGGCUAAUACCGCAUAACGUCGCAAGACCAAAGAGGGGGACCUUCGGGCCUCUUGCCAUCAGAUGUGCCCAGAUGGGAUUAGCUUGUUGGUGAGGUAACGGCUCACCAAGGCGACGAUCCCUAGCUGGUCUGAGAGGAUGACCAGCCACACUGGAACUGAGACACGGUCCAGACUCCUACGGGAGGCAGCAGUGGGGAAUAUUGCACAAUGGGCGCAAGCCUGAUGCAGCCAUGCCGCGUGUAUGAAGAAGGCCUUCGGGUUGUAAAGUACUU
rnacentral:rRNA from 2 species